rnacentral:tRNA from 1 species
AGCCUGCUUGGCUAAGUGGUACAGCGUCUCACUCGUAGACUUUUCAGUCGUUAGAAAUGAGAAGAUCGCUGGUUCGAUUCCAGCGUAGGUCC